rnacentral:rRNA from 1 species
UACGUAGGGUGCAGGCGUUAAUCGGAAUUACUGGGCGUAAAGCGUGCGCAGGCGGUUAUGUAAGACAGAUGUGAAAUGCCCGGGCUUAACCUGGGAACUGCAUUUUGUGACUGCAUGGCUAGAGUGUGUCAGAGGGGGGGUAGAAUUCCACGUGUAGCAGUGAAAUGCGUAGAUAUCGUAAGGAAGACCAGUGGCGAAGGCGGGUCUCUGGACAAGUUCCUGACGGCUGAGGCACGAAGGUCAGGGGGAGCAAAACAGG